GCAUUGGUAGUUCAGUGGUAGAACUCUUGCCUUCCGUGCAGGAGACUCAGGUUCGAGUCCCAGCCAAUGCA
rnacentral:tRNA from 1 species